UGCUUCGGUGGCCUAGUGUUUAAAGCGUCCGCCUUGGAUGCGGAAGGUCGCGUGUUCGAACUAGGCUGAAUUAU